GACGAACGCUGGCGGCGUGCUUAACACAUGCAAGUCGAACGGCAGCACGGGUGCUUGCACCUGGUGGCGAGUGGCGAACGGGUGAGUAAUACAUCGGAACGUACCUUAUCGUGGGGGAUAGCGCAGCGAAAGUUGCGCUAAUACCGCAUACGCCCUGAGGGGGAAAGCGGGGGACCGUAAGGCCUCGCGCGAUUAGAGCGGCCGAUGUCUGAUUAGCUUGUUGGUGAGGUAAAAGCUCACCAAGGCGAUGAUCAGUAGCUGGUCUGAGAGGACGAUCAGCCACACUGGGACUGAGACACGGCCCAGACUCCUACGGGAGGCAGCAGUGGGGAAUUUUGGACAAUGGGGGCAACCCUGAUCCAGCAAUGCCGCGUGAGUGAAGAAGGCCUUCGGGUUGUAAAGCUCUUUUGUCAGGGAAGAAACAGCAGCUCUAACACAGUCUGCGAAUGACGGUACCUGAAGAAUAAGCACCGGCUAACUACGUGCCAGCCGCCGCGGUAA
rnacentral:rRNA from 1 species